rnacentral:lncRNA from 1 species
AUUGAUGUAAAAUUAAUAAUAAAAACUAAUAAACGUAAAAUACUAAAACUGGUAAAUAUAUUUAUUUAAACUCCAAUUUUAUAAUGGUACAUACAAUCCACGGUUACCAACGAAAAGUAAUGGUUUUAAUUUAAAAAGGAAUGAAUCAUAUAUUGAUUUCUUUCAUUCAUAAUAUAUUUAAUUUUUAAAUGAUAAUAUGAUAGACCGGUUCCAAGUUGGCGUGCGCUCUACGCAGAAUCCCGUGUUAAUGAUUAUUUUGAAUCCAUCUCAACCCUUAAAUUUCAACCCACCGCUUAAUCUUAACCGUGUAUUUCACCCGUCCCCCUGUAUAAGAACUUUUGGGUAUCAAAUUCCAUCAUUCAGAAUUAUUAUCCUGAAAGGGUUUCUUUUCUCUUCUCUCUCACUGUUGUUAUCAAUAAAUUCUUUAUUCAGAAUUUCUUCGUUUUCACGAUCUCUUUAUCUGCGUUUGCUGCUGUUACUGUUAUCAAUUUCUGCGCCAAUUAUGUUGAUUUGCUUCGCUGAUUUGUUUUCGAUUUAUCUCAGAA